rnacentral:rRNA from 1 species
CCCGAAGUCCGUGAGGUAACCGUAAGGAGCCAGCGGCCGAAGGUGAGAUUAGUGAUUGGGGUGAAGUCGUAACAAGGUAGCCGUAGGAGAACCUGCGGCUGGAUCACCUCCUUUCUAAGGAGA